ensembl:snRNA Gm24536 predicted gene, 24536
AUGCUCGCUUCGGCAGCAUGUACACUAAAAUUAGAACAAUACAGAGAAGGUUAGCAUGACCCUUGCGCAAGGAUGACACGCAAAUUCGUGAAGUUUUCCACAUUUUU